GACGAACGCUGGCGGCGUGCUUAACACAUGCAAGUCGAACGGAAAGGCCCUGCUUUUGUGGGGUGCUCGAGUGGCGAACGGGUGAGUAACACGUGAGUAACCUGCCCUUGACUUUGGGAUAACUUCAGGAAACUGGGGCUAAUACCGGAUAGGAGCUCCUGCUGCCUGGUGGGGGUUGGAAAGUUUCGGCGGUUGGGGAUGGACUCGCGGCUUAUCAGCUUGUUGGUGGGGUAGUGGCUUACCAAGGCUUUGACGGGUAGCCGGCCUGAGAGGGUGACCGGCCACAUUGGGACUGAGAUACGGCCCAGACUCCUACGGGAGGCAGCAGUGGGGAAUAUUGCACAAUGGGCGGAAGCCUGAUGCAGCAACGCCGCGUGCGGGAUGACGGCCUUCGGGUUGUAAACCGCUUUCGCCUGUGACGAAGCGUGAGUGACGGUAAUGGGUAAAGAAGCAUCGGCUAACUACGUG
rnacentral:rRNA from 1 species